CUACUCCUGCAACUAUUUUUGUAUGUUUCUAUCUGUAGUUUCUUCCUGCACAAAGCACAGUAUAGCACAUCAGCCCACAAUCUCAAUGCCAACCAUAUAUAAUGAACAAAAAUGUUUGUUUCCAAAAUGGAUAAUGUUGAAUAGAGAGAACAUCAAGUGUUUAAUUGUCAUGCGUGCUGACAAUGCAACAGCUCAACAUCCUGUAAAUGCAAUAACACACAAUAUAAAAUGAUAAUAGAUUCAAUAAAUCA